AGAGUUUGAUCCUGGCUCAGAACGAACGCUGGCGGUAUGCUUAACACAUGCAAGUCGCACGCGAAAGCUCCUUCGGGGGUGAUUAGAGUGGCGCACGGGUGAGUAACGCGUAGAUAACCUACCCCUUAACCUGGGAUAACCUUCCGAAAGGAGGGCUAAUACCGGAUAAUACUUGAAAACGAGUGUUUUUAAGUUAAAAGAUUUAUCAUUGAGGGAUGGGUCUGCGUACCAUUAGCUGGUUGGUGGGGUAAUGGCCUACCAAGGCGACGAUGGUUAGCGGGUUUGAGAGGAUGAUCCGCCACACUGGAACUGAGACACGGUCCAGACUCCUACGGGAGGCAGCAGUGGGGAAUUUUGCGCAAUGGGGGAAACCCUGACGCAGCAAUACCGCGUGAGUGAAGAAGGCCCUUGGGUCGUAAAGCUCUUUUAUUAGGGAAGAUAGUGACGGUACCUAAUGAAUAAGCACCGGCUAACUCCGUGCCAGCAGCCGCGGUAAUACGGAGGGUGCAAGCGUUGUUCGGAUUCACUGGGCGUAAAGGGUGCGUAGGCGGCAUUAUAAGUUAAGGGUGAAAUCCCGGGGCUCAACCCCGGAACUGCUCUUAAAACUGUAGAGCUAGAGAUAGUCAGAGGCGGGUAGAAUUCCUAGUGUAGAGGUGAAAUUCGUAGAUAUUAGGAGGAAUACCGGCGGCGAAGGCGGCCCGCUGGGGCUUAUCUGACGCUAAGGCACGAAAGCGUGGGGAGCAAACGGGAUUAGAUACCCCGGUAGUCCACGCCGUAAACGAUGAAUACCAGCUGUUUGAAAAAUCGACCUUUCAAGUAGCGCAGCUAACGCGAUGAGUAUUCCGCCUGGGAAGUACGGUCGCAAGACUAAAACUCAAAGGAAUUGACGGGGGCCCGCACAAGCGGUGGAGCAUGUGGUUUAAUUCGACGCAACGCGCAGAACCUUACCUGGGUUGACAUCUCCGGACCGCUAUAGAGAUAUAGUUUUCCCUUCGGGGACCGGAUGACAGGUGCUGCAUGGCUGUCGUCAGCUCGUGUCGUGAGAUGUUGGGUUAAGUCCCGCAACGAGCGCAACCCUUGCCCUUAGUUGCCAUCAGGUUAAGCUGGGAACUCUAAGGGGACUGCCGGUGUUAAGCCGGAGGAAGGUGGGGAUGACGUCAAGUCCUCAUGGCCUUUAUAUCCAGGGCUACACACGUGCUACAAUGGUAACUACAAUGAGCAGCCAGACCGCGAGGUUUAGCGAAUCUCAAAAAAGUUAUCUCAGUUCGGAUCGCAGUCUGCAACUCGACUGCGUGAAGUUGGAAUCGCUAGUAAUCGUAGAUCAGCGUGCUACGGUGAAUACGUUCCCGGGCCUUGUACACACCGCCCGUCACACCAUGGGAGUUGAUAUUGGCAGAAUACAUUGAGCUAACUUUUCGAAGGGGCAGGUGUAGAAGCUAGUGUCGAUGACUAGGGUGAAGUCGUAACAAGGUA
rnacentral:rRNA from 1 species